rnacentral:lncRNA from 1 species
GCAGAGCAGCGCUGUCUCUGCCCACGACUCAGAGGUGAAUUGCUAAUGAGCUACUGGAGCUCUGCAGAAGAAAAGCCCUUGAAAAUGACACAGGUAACGCGAUUUUUGGUAAAAACUUCAUAAUCACAAUUUAAAGACCACUGAGAACACUUUAAGUAGUGAAAAAAAUGAUCAGAGAGGGACUUUAAAGCCACUAAUCCACCUUCUUAUCUGGAGACCCUGUGCUCCCUCAUCCUGUAGGAUUCUCUGGAUUGCUGCUGUAGACAGCCUGCUUCUGUGGGCCUGCCUGCAAUUCAGCUGAUUCAACGACAUGGCCCAGUCCCACAGUCGGCUGGCCUUGGCUCUGAUGCAUGGAUAAAGGCAGGCAUUGUUUAGAAAAGUCCCUCUGAGAUUUGUACUUAUUUCUGCAGACACCUGGAAUUUUUAAAAAGUGUGGCAUCUCCCCUUGGAAUACAGAAGAUAUUUGCAGCACAGAAUACAAUCCUCAUUGUGCACUUGUAUCAUUCUUCUUGUGUAAUGCAGUAUGACUGGCCAACUAGUCAAAAGAUAAUUGGUAUGAGGCUUUAAGUACAGAAUUAACUUUUCCAAAAGAGAAUUAACAUUUUUACUUUUUCAUUUUCCUUCACCUUAUUUUUCACAUUCUUAAAUCCAUGCAUGUGUAGUCCAUACAUGCAGGGCUGACUGCCCUAUUUAAACCUUUUCACCUUUGCUGUCUAUUACUUGUGUGCUCAUAUGUGAGCAGGGUGCUGCAGGGGUAAAGGAGGUAACCAAGGAACUGCUGUUGUGUAUAAAUCCUGCAAGCAACUUAAUGUAAGCAGACUUGGCACAGCUGAAGUCUGCUAAAGAACAUGUAUGCUGUUUAUAGUCCUACAGUGACCUCUGUUGGUAAAGUGAAAUAAGCUUCAUUCAAGUUAAAUUACAUUUUAAUAAGAAUUAAACACGCAAGUAAAUUGUGCAAAAUUUUGUAAAAGAGCAGUCCUGGGCAUGCAGCAACUAUAAACAAGUUCGACUUACUUAUGCAUGACAGUUGGGAGCAGCACUUACAUGAAUGACAAAGAAGAGUAAGUUGUGGACUCAGUCUCCAAAAAUGUUAGACUAGAGAAUCACCCUUGACCUUUUUAAACCAUCUUGGUGUGAGCUUGUGGUGAUAGGUAAUCUCAUUUAGUCAACAUAAUGCUACUUGCAAAUCUAAAUCUUAGUCAUGCAUGCUUUCACCUCCCCCUGCUGCAUGACUAUACAUUUAAUGGCUGUAUUGAGGCAAAUACUGCUAUAUUUAAGUUUAUUUUUUCCCUAAAAGGUUGGUUCUGCCAGGGUCCUUAUAACCCAAACUCAGUGGCAGAACUGAGAGUAUUUUGGCUUCAUACACUUUACCAAUAAUGUAUGAUUUAUGGACAGAGUUAUGAAUUGUGACAUCUAUUGUGAUGCUGUUCUUAAGAGCUUCAGACUGUGAAAAGGAGACUUAAUACGUGUUCUAAUUCUUGGCAGAUCUCAUAAUUUUGGGUCAUAAAUUGGGUUGACAUAAAUUAAGCUUUCAUCAAUAUAAAAAGUAAAUAGUUUUGCACCAACAGUUAAUUUAUAUAUAAUCUGUAGAAGAGCCCUAACAUCUUCCCCCUAACCAAUGGCUUUAAAACAAAUUCCACAUAGUUUUUCUUGCUUGAGUUUCCUUUUGUCAGGCAUUGCCGGCUAACAGAGACAGAUGACAGAGAUUUAGUCAUUUAUUUUGUUACUGUUUAUUCUUACAAAGGUCAACUGAAGGCAGGUGCUUUUUUAAACCACUAGAGAGCACCAGUGUACCAACAAUUUUUAGGUUUAAUCCCUUGCAAAGUACCUAAUCUUUGGGAUUGUUCACUUAAUGAGCCUAACAACAAGAAAAGUUAGAUAACAGAAACUUUCAUAAUACCUUUUGUGUUUGUCCCUCUGAAAGCACCCAGAUUAAGUUCAGGAAAGGCUGAAGGAAAACUGGAAGAAAUACUGGAUGAGCGUCUACCAAAUUCCUGGUUGACUUCGGUCAAAAGAUACCACAUAUUGUCUCGUAUUUCAGGGAGGGACCAUUUCUCAGGGAUUUUGGUUUUUAUUUCAGCUGUUCAAAACAAUAGAUCUGUGGUGUAUGCAAAGCAGUAAUACAGAUACAAGGUUAAAGGAAAGUAUUAGCUCUUUUGCAAUUGAGCCUACAUCACACAGUCAUGUUAUUAGGCUUAUUGUUUUUAAUGCUUUUCAAACAUACAACAGUCUUUGAAGGCAGCAAAUCUUAGCCUUUCACAAAUAAAGGCCUCUCACGCACUAACAAACACACACGCACACGGGAUCACGUUCAUGUCAGACCAAUGGGAUGGG